CCAUUUGCAGCACCCGUGUCUCCUGGUGGCCUGCAGACCACGAGCCAGGGACCAGCAGCCCUGGGAGGGGUCUUUCUUGUGGUUGAGGUGCAGGCGUUCCAGAUGCUUCUGCAGCUGGUGCAGACACCCAGGUUGGACAAGUUGAGGGCCAGGGAAGGUGGGCACAGGUCUUCCAAGAUGUCUGCAAGCCACCCUCCAUGCCGCGGCCUUCAGAAGAUGGCCAGGCCCGCGCUGGGUGGUUCCGGGGCCUCAGCAGCUGUGCCUGCUGGGGGCCCUCACAGUGGAGGGAGGGGCAAGCUGGCCGAGAAGCGGGUGCAGCCCCACGGCCCCUCCGUCACCCCAGCAGAGGUCGGGAUGUCUGUUCUCGGGAGGCGGAGGCAGAGCGUCUGGGCCCGAGAGAGCCACAAACAGUCGAGGCAGCGGCUCCACACGGAACAGGCGUGGCCAGGUCACCACAGGCAGAAUGUCGGGGCCCAGCCCCUCUUCAUCAGCUCCAGGCAAGAGCUGGGAAGGUUCUUCUUCUGACAGGGACAAUGGUUCCGGGGGGGGGGGGGGGGGUCCCUGACAGUCGGCCCCUCCAGCUCCCUUACCAGGCUGAACACUGUAAAUCACCUGUCACAGCCAGAGGUCUCACUGCAUCGUCACAGACGGCCCAGGGUCCCCAGACAGUCAGAAGGCCGCUAACAUGACUGAGACCAAGACAAACAAAAAGAAAUGAAGCUGAACGGCUGAAACAAGAGACUGAAGGGAGGAGAGAACGGUAAACAAUUAAACGAAGCAGCAAGAUCCUUAGGCCCUCUGUUUAUGAAACGGCAAGUAAGACUCCGUUAAAAGAACACCGGGGGGCGCCGGGGUGGCUCAGUCGGUGAGGCGCCCGAUUUGGUGUUGGCUCAGGUCACAGUCUCAGGGUCUGUGAGUUCCAGCCCCGCGUCGACAGACAGCUGAUCGGUGUUCUCAUGCUCCCUGUCUCUCUGCCCCUCCCCGCUCUGAAAAUAAAGAAAUAAACUUGAAAAAAAGGAACAUUCAGAGAACAACAGCUCUUGGAAACCGUAACUACGCCAGCAGAAACAAAGAACUUCACAGGGGAUUGGGAUGUCGAGGGAAAGAGCUCUCUCUGAAAGUACAGCAGGAACGAGCUAAAAAUAAGAAAGUACAGAUCAUAUAUAAGGCGAUCGGCUCCACCCCUACCAGAGCUCCAGGCUGUAAGUGCGGGCGGUCUAGGAAGAGGAAAGGGGAAAUCAGAGAGGAAGAAGUCUUUGGUGAAAUAAGUCCGGAAAUUGUCCCGGAGGGAAAACAUGCGCUUCGGCGCUGGGAGGGGGCAGGGCGGGCCCAGCCCCGCGGCGGGAGGCCGGACUAGACCCGGGAGAGGCACUUCCUGGUGGAAUUCCACCACCCCUGGGAAAGGAAGUUUCUACGAGCUUCUGGAGAGAGAACACCGGGUCGUGUGCAAAUGAGGAGGCGGCAGAGUGGCUGUGACUUCUCAGCAGCGAGGCUGGAGGGAACAGAGCAAUGGAACGCGCCGCCGCACCCCUGUGGGAAGAUGCUUUCUCGCCCACGAUUCUGUAUUCGGCACAUCUUCCUCCGGGCGUCAGGGCAGAGUGAUGCCAUUGCCACUCGUGCAGAGCGUCCCUCGGGCGCUGGAUCAGGAGGCUCCGAGGAGGUGGGCCCCGCCCAGGUUUGGGAGCCAGUGGCCCUGAGACCCACCAGGGACUGAUGGUGACAGAGAUCCCGGUAUGACAGCUGUGUACCUGGUGGUGAUGGCCGCCACCCAGGCUGGGGCAGCAGACCUCGGGGCACAGUUUGAGUGCUGUCUACUCGGAAAGACGUCCCCGCCACCAUCCCGUCUUCUUCGUUUGGGGGCAGACGGGCGGAUUCCGGACACAAGAGCUUCUUAAACCCAGGAAUUUCCUCACAUACGGGGCUGCGAGGAGCACCUGUUACUCAUGACCAUCGCCUGAGAAUGUGCCAGUGCGCAGACUGUUGGAGGAUGGCGGCUGGUCACCAGGAGCAACCAGUGAUCAGAGAGCAGGAACUUUCAGCCCACCCCCACCCCCCACCCCGAGAGACGUGAAGGGCCGGAGAUUAAUUCCCAACAGUCGGUGGUUCCAUCAGUUGUGCUAACGUGCUGGGGACUUCCCCAAGACCUCCACGCUGGAGAACUUCUGGGGUGAUGAGUGCACCCAUCUUCCCGGAGGGCGGCUCGCUCUAACUGCGUGGGGACAGACGCUUCUGCACUUGGGACCCUUCUGGACCUUGCCCUGGGGACCUCUUCCCCUGGCUGUUCAUCUGUGCCUGCAUCGUACCCUUUAAUAAACCAUAGUAAGUAAAGUGCU